AAAUAUUUCCCAUAUAUGUGCUACUUUUUUGAAUGCAAAUUAAAUUUUUGAAUGGGCUGAAUGCGUUUUUUGAUAUCUGGAAAAUUGCACAAUCAUGACGGAACCACAAAUCUAAAUUGCUAAAUCAAGUCCGGACGCCAAUGGGCUGUGCGAAUGGAUGGUGAAAACGAAAUAUGGAAUCGUUGAACUGACAUUGACAGUUGACAGCUGUCGAAAUUUCCAAAGUAUAUUCAAUUAAACUGCUAUUGAUUUUGUUUGUGCUAAUGAUAAGAGUGUGAGCUAGACGGGGAAAGAGCAAAAGAGAGCGAGGAAAAGAGAGAGAGAGAGAGAGAAGACAAAGCGCGGGUCAAUAGGCAGGACAAGGACAUGAAAAGAAGUUCAAAGCUCAAGGAAAUUUCAAAUCGAUCAAAAUGCUCACAUAUCGAUCCAAAGUCCCAAACAGAUGCGACGCCUAAUUUGUGUCUAACCUGGAACUUGUGACAUGCCGUGUGGCACCGCCGCGGGAGUCGGCUCGUCGACCCGUCGGCAAGGACAAUAGUUAUAAAUGAGAAUGGUACACACACCCACACACGCAGGAAAAUCAAGUCUGGGUUCUCUGGUUUCUAUAGUCUGCGCACAUUGCAAUUGUUAAA
rnacentral:sRNA from 1 species